CAUUAUACCGUGAAACUGCGAAUGGCUCAUUAAAUCAGUUAUCGUUUAUUUGAUAGUACCUUACUACUUGGAUAACCGUGGUAAUUCUAGAGCUAAUACAUGCUAAAAACCCCGACUUCGGGAGGGGUGUAUUUAUUAGAUAAAAAACCAAUGCCCUUCGGGGCUCUUUGGUGAUUCAUGAUAACUUAACGGAUCGCAUGGCCUUGCGCCGGCGACGGUUCAUUCAAAUUUCUGCCCUAUCAACUUUCGAUGGUAAGGUAUUGGCUUACCAUGGUUUCAACGGGUAACGGGAGAUUAGGGUUUGACUCCGGAGAGGGAGCCUGAGAAACGGCUACCACAUCCAAGGAAGGCAGCAGGCGCGCAAAUUACCCAAUCCCGACACGGGGAGGUAGUGACAAUAAAUACUGAUACAGGGCUCUUUUGGGUCUUGUAAUCGGAAUGAGUACAAUUUAAACCCCUUAACGAGGAACAAUUGGAGGGCAAGUCUGGUGCCAGCAGCCGCGGUAAUUCCAGCUCCAAUAGCGUAUAUUAAAGUUGUUGCAGUUAAAAAGCUCGUAGUUGAACCUUGGGCCUGGCUGGCCGGUCCGCCUCACCGCGUGUACUGGUCCGGCCGGGCCUUUCCUUCUGGUGAGCCUCAUGCCCUUCACUGGGUGUGUUGGGGAACCAGGACUUUUACUGUGAACAAAUUAGAGUGUUCAAAGCAGGCCUUUGCUCGAAUACAUUAGCAUGGAAUAAUAGAAUAGGACGUGCGGUCCUAUUUUGUUGGUUUCUAGGACCGCCGUAAUGAUUAAUAGGGAUAGUCGGGGGCAUCAGUAUUCAAUUGUCAGAGGUGAAAUUCUUGGAUUUAUUGAAGACUAACUACUGCGAAAGCAUUUGCCAAGGAUGUUUUCAUUAAUCAGUGAACGAAAGUUAGGGGAUCGAAGACGAUCAGAUACCGUCGUAGUCUUAACCGUAAACUAUGCCGACUAGGGAUCGGGCGAUGUUUCUAUCUUGACUCGCUCGGCACCUUACGAGAAAUCAAAG
rnacentral:rRNA from 1 species